AGAGAGAGAGGGGAGAGAGCAACAGAGCGUAUGUCUGGAGCUCCAGCAAAGCAAGCAGGCCCUCACAGAGCGAAGCAGCCAAGAACCUGCCUGAAGCCUGGGAAGGACAGGGCGGCUGAUCGGGGACACCCCAGGACAGGAGCCAGGAGGAGCACUGUGCCAGGGAGGAAUCGCCCAAGGACGACAGGCUGGAGCUGGACCCAGUAUCACUGCUGCCCAGAGCUGCAUGGGGCUAAAACAAAAGGUACCAAGAAAUCACCAAGUUAGUGUGCUGUAUACCAUCAAGGAAAUUGGUAUAUCCUGGAUGGGAAAGGUGAAGGCAGAAGAGGAUGAAUAGGCUCAAGAGAAUACAAGAUGGAGGCACUGACUGGGAAGAAAGGAAAAUAAAGAGACAGAGGGACAAAAGGAAGACCAAAGAGGACCUUGGAUGGUUGGGAAAGUGAAGCUGGCUGUGAAGGAACUGUCAUGGGGAGAGGUAGAAGUGGAUUGGCUCUUUGCCUCAACCCAGCAGACAGUGGUGUAAUGUUAUUGACAAUGUAAAAUAAGGAUUCAGGUUAUUGUGAAAAUUAGAAGUUGUCAGCAAAAUUGGGAUUAUAGAAGAAAAAUGUGUUUGUGGAGAAGAAUUCCAAUUAGUUGCAUAAUAAGAAUUGCAAAUGCCUUUUUUUUAAAAUUUAUCCAAAAAAACAGACUUUCUUCACAAUGCUAGCUAGUUAAUUACUAUCACUUCAUUCUCCAAUUGUCUGUGAGGAAUGCUUCUGCACAUUGACAGAAGCUUUCGGCUUAGAUACCUUUAUAACAUUUACAAAGGUAUCUUUAUAACAUUCUAUAUUUAAUAUUCAUGCUGCAUUACCUGACAGAUCAAUGUUUUCAGUUAAAACAAACUAAAAAUAAAAAAAAACUAAAAGGA